GGAGGGAUGUCCGAAUUGGCUAAGGAGCCGGACUUGAAAUCCGGUGAAGCCGAAAGGUGUCUGGGUUCGAGUCCCAGUCCCUCCGCCA
rnacentral:tRNA from 3 species